rnacentral:rRNA from 1 species
AGUGAACGCUGGCGGUAGGCCUAACACAUGCAAGUCGAACGGCAGCACAGUAAGAGCUUGCUCUUACGGGUGGCGAGUGGCGGACGGGUGAGGAAUACAUCGGAAUCUACUUUUUCGUGGGGGAUAACGUAGGGAAACUUACGCUAAUACCGCAUACGACCUACGGGUGAAAGCAGGGGAUCUUCGGACCUUGCGCGAUUGAAUGAGCCGAUGUCGGAUUAGCUAGUUGGCGGGGUAAAGGCCCACCAAGGCGACGAUCCGUAGCUGGUCUGAGAGGAUGAUCAGCCACACUGGAACUGAGACACGGUCCAGACUCCUACGGGAGGCAGCAGUGGGGAAUAUUGGACAAUGGGCGCAAGCCUGAUCCAGCCAUACUGCGUGGGUGAAGAAGGCCUUCGGGUUGUAAAGCCCUUUUGUUGGGAAAGAAAAGCAGCAGGUUAAUACCCCGCUGUUCUGACGGUACCCAAAGAAUAAGCACCGGCUAACUUCAUG